GACGAAGGGGCUAGCGUUGUUCGGAAUUACUGGGCGUAAAGCGCGUGUAGGCGGUUGCCCAAGUCGGGUGUGAAAGCCUUGAGCUCAACUCAAGAAAUGCACUCGGUACUGGGUGACUAGAGGACCGGAGAGGAUAGUGGAAUUCCCAGUGUAGUGGUGAAAUACGUAGAGAUUGGGAAGAACACCAGUGGCGAAGGCGGCUAUCUGGACGGUUUCUGACGCUAAGACGCGAAAGCGUGGGGAGCAAACAGGG
rnacentral:rRNA from 1 species